rnacentral:lncRNA from 1 species
CCUCACACUCAAUUCCCUCCACAACACCAAAAGUUAUCGAGGAAUGUCAGAGGAAGAACAAGGAGCUCACAAAGAACUCCAAGAUCAAGAUCCAAGGGGUUCCCCUCACAUAGAUGAGAAAGUAAUUGAUGGAGAUGUGGAUCAAGAUCUCCUCUCCCUUUUCCCUCAAGAAAUAGCAAGAAUCAUUGGAGGGAUUGAGAGUUAGCAAGCUCUAAGAAGGUCAAAAAUGUGGGGCAAACAAGAGCUAGAAGGAUGGGGAACCAUUGGGGAAGAAUACCCCCUUAAAUAGGUCCCCACGAAUCUGACCGUUACAGCCGUUUUAACACGGAAGUGGUUGAACCGGUUGCCAGGGCGAUUCAACCGGGCUGCCUAUUUUAACGGUACAACCGCCCAGCCACCGCCCAACAACCAGACCAAAACAGAAGGUUGGCAUGCGAUUCCACCUGCCACGACUGCUGGGCACGGCUAAGUCCCAAGCAGUCCAACCGCUAAGAACACCGGUAGUACCGGCUAUACUAAUAUAGCGGUACAACCGGGC